CGUGCAGGCGGGUUGGUAAGUCAGAUGUGAAAGCCCUGGGCUCAACCCAGGAAGUGCAUUUGAGACUGCCAUCCUUGAGUAUGGGAGAGGAGAGUGGAAUUCCCAAUGUAGAGGUGAAAUUCGUAGAUAUUGGGAGGAACACCCGUGGCGAAGGCGACUCUCUGGACCAAUACUGACGCUGAGACGCGAAAGCGUGGGGAGCAAACA
rnacentral:rRNA from 1 species